rnacentral:rRNA from 1 species
AAACCGCCUAGAGGUAAACGGGUGGAUCCGCAAAAGUCGGCCCGCGGAAUUCAGCUCGGAAGGCCAGCGCCCGCCGCUUGUUUGGGAGAUUCGCUUGUGGACUCCCCGGGCGGUUGCCUUGGACGCAGGUGAUCCGUGUGCACUUUCCGCGGGCAGAGCGUCACGACCGGUUCUCGGGCGGUCAGACGGCGGCUGGGAAGGUAGGCGGGCGUCUUCGCGGGCGCUCGCUGUUACAGCCCAGCCUGUCCCGAUCCGCUUGGCUAGAGGACCGAGGAGCUGCCGCCGGCGCGAGGCCGCUUCGCUCCCCUCCCGGGAGGUUUACGACUGGUGGAGACUGGGUUCCGCCCGUGUCCGCCGACCGCUUUCCGGGAUGGGGCGGGGUGAGGGAGCCCGCCGGCUGAGGGUCAGUGGCGAAUCGGUCGGCCCUCCACCCGACCCGUCUUGAANNNNNNNNNNNNNNNNNNNNNNNNCGCGCGAGUCGUUGGGCAGUACGAAACCCGAAGGCGCAGUGAAAGCGAGGGCCACCUUCGCGGUGGCUAAGGUGGGAUCCGGUCCUCCGCGGCUGGCGCACCACCGGCCCGUCUCGACCGCGCUGUCGGUGAGGCGGAGCAGGAGCGUGCACGUUGGGACCCGAAAGAUGGUGAACUAUGCCUGAGUAGGACGAAGCCAGAGGAAACUCUGGUGGAGGUCCGCAGCGAUUCUGACGUGCAAAUCGAUCGUCAAACUUGGGUAUAGGGGCGAAAGACUAAUCGAACCAUCUAGUAGCUGGUUCCCUC